ensembl:lncRNA MEG3 maternally expressed 3
AGCCCCUAGCGCAGACGGCGGAGAGCAGAGAGGGAGCGCGCCUUGGCUCGCUGGCCUUGGCGGCGGCUCCUCAGGAGAGCUGGGGCGCCCACGAGAGGAUCCCUCACCCGGGUCUCUCCUCAGGGAUGACAUCAUCCGUCCACCUCCUUGUCUUCAAGGACCACCUCCUCUCCAUGCUGAGCUGCUGCCAAGGGGCCUGCUGCCCAUCUACACCUCACGAGGGCACUAGGAGCACGGUUUCCUGGAUCCCACCAACAUACAAAGCAGCCACUCACUGACCCCCAGGACCAGGAUGGCAAAGGAUGAAGAGGACCGGAACUGACCAGCCAGCUGUCCCUCUUACCUAAAGACUUAAACCAAUGCCCUAGUGAGGGGGCAUUGGGCAUUAAGCCCUGACCUUUGCUAUGCUCAUACUUUGACUCUAUGAGUACUUUCCUAUAAGUCUUUGCUUGUGUUCACCUGCUAGCAAACUGGAGUGUUUCCCUCCCCAAGGGGGUGUCAGUCUUUGUCGACUGACUCUGUCAUCACCCUUAUGAUGUCCUGAAUGGAAGGAUCCCUUUGGGAAAUUCUCAGGAGGGGGACCUGGGCCAAGGGCUUGGCCAGCAUCCUGCUGGCAACUCCAAGGCCCUGGGUGGGCUUCUGGAAUGAGCAUGCUACUGAAUCACCAAAGGCACGCCCGACCUCUCUGAAGAUCUUCCUAUCCUUUUCUGGGGGAAUGGGGUCGAUGAGAGCAACCUCCUAGGGUUGUUGUGAGAAUUAAAUGAGAUAAAAGAGGCCUCAGGCAGGAUCUGGCAUAGAGGAGGUGAUCAGCAAAUGUUUGUUGAAAAGGUUUGACAGGUCAGUCCCUUCCCACCCCUCUUGCUUGUCUUACUUGUCUUAUUUAUUCUCCAACAGCACUCCAGGCAGCCCUUGUCCACGGGCUCUCCUUGCAUCAGCCAAGCUUCUUGAAAGGCCUGUCUACACUUGCUGUCUUCCUUCCUCACCUCCAAUUUCCUCUUCAACCCACUGCUUCCUGACUCGCUCUACUCCGUGGAAGCACGCUCACAAAGUUCCUGACCUGGCCAUCCCGGGGUGCCCUUGACCAGCCCCGUGUCUCCUCAGGGUGUCCCAGCACCAGCCUGGCACAGAGUGGGGCUCAGUUAGAGUAUGUGGGAUGUUGGUUUCGCCAGCAGCUGCUGGGGCCCACCUCCCAUGCCGAGGACCAGC